CUAUCUCUCCCUUCUCCUUUAUAUCUUCCGCCAGCCGCCUCUCUUUCUCUUCACUUCACUCUUUCUUCUUACACUCUCUAUCUUCUUCCUUGUCUCUUCCAGGUGAGGGCGCGACGUCGGGGCAAGGCGUGCGUGGCCGGCCAGCGGGCACGGCCUCCUAGCGGUCGGCGGGGCGAGGCGCGGGCGUGGCGCUGCUGUAGCGUGGGGAGCUCGGCGCGGCACGGUGGCUCGGCCGCGGGAUCUUGGAGCGACGCGGCGGAGCACCUCCGCAGGAGUUCGGCACGGAGCGGCAAUGAGGGGACAUCGGCAUGCAGUAGAUAUGCGGCGCCACGAGGGGCACAGGUGCAGUAAGCAGCACGAGCUGCAAGGUGACAAGCGGGAGUUAGGCACGGAGCGCGGCGGAGCUCGGUGCGGAGCGGCCUCCUGCGGCAUCUCCUACGUUGCCGGCGGAGUGCAGACGUGGGCACAACGCAGCGGGCACGGUGCGGGGAGCUAGAUCUGCGCCGUACCUGCUUUUUUUGUUUUUUUAAUCGGUCUCUAGGGGCGGGUGACCCCAUCGCCUUCCCCCACAAAUCCAUUUCUAGGGACGGGUGGGGGCGUCACCCGCCCCUGAAAAUGCAUUUUCACUGCAAACAGCUAUUUUUUACUGCGAAAAGCAGGGGCGCUUGCGACAUCCGCCCUUAAAAAUGCCUUUUUACCCGCCCCUA